AUGGCAAUGGCACCCUCAGCAUCCGUGGUUUCCUUCUCCGCCCGCCCGUCCGCCGCGCUCCGGCCGCGCGCCGCCUCCGUCACGGCGGGAGCUGGUGGGCGGGUCCGCGCUGGGGCGCCCAAGGGAGGCAAGUGGUGGGCGCCACUGGUCGGGUGGUCUGGACGGGCGGACUAUAUGGAGGCCGCGGCGCCGACGCCGGUGGUCGAAGUGGAGGAGAAGACGUUCGUCGGCCUGACGGAGGAGAAAGCGAGGCAGCUGCGGGCUCGGAUGUCGGGGAUGGAGAGCUUCCACGACGCCAUGUACCACUCCGCCAUCGCGUCCCGCCUCGCCCGCUCCACCUAG
rnacentral:rRNA from 1 species